GGUUUGGAACUAGAUGGUCUUUAACGUUCCUUCCAACCCAAAGCAGCCUGUGGUUGAAAAAGGAGGGUGGUAUCUGGUCAUACUUCUGAGGAACAACACCAACAACUGUAAAAAGCAGUGCUCUAAAAAAGAUACCCCUGGCAUAUACCGUGCCAAACGCAACUGCAAAAUGUCCUCUGUCAGAAGGUUGAGCCCUUUGGCACUUUGUUGGAAAUAAUCCUGCUAUACUUCAGAUUUCUGUUCAACCUUAUCAUAUCACAUAUCCGAAAUGCUCUCGGAUGAUAAACUAUCCCCUCACCGCAUGGCACAGUCCUGCACUACAGAUAUCUGAGCUAGCUCCGUUACGGGAUGCAGCAUGGCUCUGGCAGAAGCGCCGUAUCCGCUUCCCAGGCUUGGCUGGCUCUGCAGAGCUGACAGUCAUUCAGAACUCACUCGAGUAGCUCUACAUGUCGUGCUCCUGUGCUGCGUGUCUUUUCUUUCCGAUAACCAGCUGUCCCGCACAUUCUUCAGUUAAUACUUUCUAGGUCAGAUAUGGCCUCAAUAGACUCUAUCGUUUCGCCCGGAGCUAAUUCUCCAAAAGCAGUAGGAAAGUCUUUGAAUACGUUGCAGGAUUUUCCAGGAAUUGCUGCUCAGCAAAGAAAAUUCAGCUGAUCAUUUUUCUUGAUGUCUCGAAAAAUGCUUGCAGGGAAAAUUCAUUCCUUAGGGAUGGAUGCUGGGGUAAUAUUACAGGAGACUUGGAAGGGUGUACUGGUGGGGGCCUGCAAGUGGAGAACAAAUGGCAGAAAAUACCAAAUAACUGAGAUAAGCCAGAAGGAGCAUUAGAGAAAAUGAUUUUAAAGUGAUUAAAGCAUAAUUCUGUAUUAUUGCCCAUUAUAUAGACUAACAGGAGAUCACAGCAACUUGGCAGAUUUCAAGUUAAUUAACUUUAUGAUAACUUCACAGGGUAUUUCUAAGGAAACCAGCAAUAUUUGAAGAGUCUAAAGAUACAGCUUUUUAUGUCAACAGUUUCCUUUGAGCUGCCAGCUUGCCUGUGUGGUUUGAGACAGCAGAGCAAAGCAAAAACAGCAUUAAAACUACAGUGAAAGCCCCAUCAAAAAGCAUUGAGGCAAUUAAUAUUCCUGCUUUCCUCUGCAUGGAAUGGAGUUCAGUGGUUUCCAGAAGACUUGCACGUAAAAAGAUAAUUGAAAACUCCCUUUAUGCAUAUCCACAACAGAGCUGAAUUAAGGAAUUUUAAUCCUGGGAUGCCACAAUUUGUAGCAACAGAAACAUAUUUACUUGCAAGCUGAUCCCAUCUGUGCUCCUGCAUUGUAAAGCUUCCCCCUGCCGUGGCACUGCAUGUCUGAUUUAGUUUGGUACAACUGCUCAGAUGCUCCAGCCUUCAGGAGUGCCAGGAUCCCACACUGUGGCUCAGACGGGCAAGGUACUGUCACUUGGGCAUGGCUUUAAUAAAAAGAGGGUGUGUGGUUUUUCUUGUGUAAGAACAUGCAGUGACACUAUAAUCAUUUGAUGCCUGAUAGUUCAGUGACAUGGAAGACUGCUGAACUUUUAACUUAAUUGGGUCUUCUCAUGCUUGCACUGUUUCCUGCUUAUGAACCAGGAUAUAUGGGUACUAUAACUCAAAUAUACACUAAGCUGUCUCCGCUGCAGUCGCAUACCUUGCAAAUUAAGUAGGAUCAGGACUCAAAAGAGAUAAUGAAGGAGACCUAUGUCCUGGAGGAAAUUACCAUGAAUUACAAAAUGAUGGUUUCUCUCUUAAUAAAAAAUGAGCAAAUGCUCCAGUGUGACACUAGGGAACUCUUCAGUUUAUAAAGGUACUGUCUUUCAGGAAAUACAUAUGUUAAUCCAGCUGUCAUGCAUAAAUUCUCAUUUGAGGCCUGAUCUAAUUCCCAUUGAAGCAGAGAUGGACUCAAUCUACUUAAAUUUCUCCAUGCAGUUUCACGGCUUUCCACUAUCUUCAUCUGUUGUAUCACAUUACCGUGUGUGGGUAGAGUUGCCACAUUCCACCCAUGACACAACUGUUUCAGUGGCAAGUGAAGUGAUAUGUGCAUAUGGUAUAUGCAGUCUUUACACAAACCGUAUGCUUUCAGACAGCUAUCUAUGCAACUGGGAGAAGUUAUGAGGGCUUUUUGAAUAUAAAGUCCAUUUGCUACAUUAUUAGAAGAUGUUGCAAACUUUGUCAUUCCCAUGACCUUACUUUUGAUAUUUGAGAGAUGGAAUGAGUGAUUUAUUGUGUACUUCUUGUAAAUGAGUAACUCAGUUUAAUAACUUUGAAUAACAAUAAAGUGGUUGUGUGAAGAUUUU